CCCCUGCCACUCCACUUGAUGGCCGGCCGGGACGAAAAAAAGGAGGAACCAUCCAACCGGACGCUCCCGGUGCGGCAGUGUGGAGACCUGCCGUAAGGCGCGGGGAAGCGCGCUUUCCCCGGCGCGAGGCCAGGCCUGCGGAGGCAGCCUGUCCCGAGCGGAAAAAAUGGCA
rnacentral:ncRNA from 1 species